rnacentral:piRNA from 1 species
UGAGAACAGUGCAGAAGAUGGAGG